CUUCAACGACCCCAGCAGGAGUGGCAGUUCGGGCUCCCGGCCCUGUCCGUAGGUGGCCAGCAGUGCCUGCGCUUC
rfam:Streptomyces albulus strain NK660, complete genome.